CUCCACUCCAACAUGCAGUUAAUUUACUGCAUCACGCAACUUCAAAUUAUUCAAAAACAAAAAUAAAAAUGUCACUACAUGUAGCGGGUUAAAAAGAGGUAAAAAAUACCAGGUUAAUUAUCCUUUUAAAAAUUAGGUGGGAACGGCAGAGACCCACUACACACCACCACACCGAUUAUCGGAACGACAACGACGUCACAAACUGCGGCAACAACGACGGCGUGGAGAACAAAGAGAACGACAACGCCUCGCGAACAAAGAGUGCCUUCUGUGGGGAUAGGUAAAGAGAGCCACGAAAGCGUCCGCGAGUAGAGGCUUCUAUAGGAAGAAGGAACCCUACCCCGCGAGCAGUAGAUGUGAUGAACGAACUCUAAUCCGGGUACUACUGCUUUUUGGUGCCAUUGACUCUCCCUAUAAUUGUUGUUGCUGUGUACUUUCAUUGGCUCAGCAUGAAGUUGUUCAAGCAUGCUUAGCAUAACCUUUUCAGAUUUUGAAGGCAGAAAUAAAUGUUUAUGUUGGACUCUUCAAGUUUCAUAACCUAACAGUUCAAUGCAGAAAAAUAUUGGAAAUAUUAUAGGCCAAUUGUUUGCUGGUUUAAAUUGUUAUGUAAGAAGAUGUAUGCUUGCCAUUUUAUCUGUGGGUCCUGUACCAAGUCAUAUUGCUUUCAUCAUGGACGGGAAUCGGAGGUAUGCAAAGAAGAAAAACAUGGAAGAAGGUGAUGGCCACAAGGCUGGAUUUAAUGUUCUCACGUCCCUCCUUAGAUACUGCUAUGAAUUAGGAGUGAGGUAUGUAACUGUCUAUGCAUUCAGCAUUGAUAACUUUAAAAGGAAAUCUACAGAAGUUCAGUCCUUGAUGGAACUGAUGCAGAAAAAGAUUGAGGAAUUGCUUGAACAAGAAAGUCUCAUUAAUGAGUAUGGUGUUAGAUUACAUUUCAUUAGAGACAUGCAACUAUUGACAGAGCCUGUUAGGGCUGCUGUGGAGAAGGCAACGAGAGUUACUGCCCACAACAACCAGAGAGUUCUUUUGAUUUGUGUAGCGUAUACUUCUCGUCACGAGAUUGUGCAUGCUGUUCAAGAAUGUUGCAAGGAAAAAUUGAAUGAAGUUCAAACGAGAAAAAAAGUGAAAGUUACAAAUAGUGCGUUUUCAAGAAUUGAUCAGGGUCUGAAAGGAAAUGAUUUUGAUUUGCUUUCUCAAGAUUCAUGUAAAGAAUAUCUAAAUGCAAUCAAAGCACGCAGUAGUGAAGUAGAAUGUGCUGCGAGGAAAGAUGGUUUGUCUGAGAGUAAUGUCGAGAAUGAUAUCGGUAACUACAGUGAAGCUCAAAUGAUAUCAUACAAUGGACUGGUCGAAAUGACUGAAGAGAGAAAGCAUAAACAGGAUGAGGUUCCUUUUAUAAAACUGGCGGAUGUUGAGAAGAACAUGUACAUGGCAGUUGCACCUGACCCAGACAUCUUGAUCAGAACUUCUGGAGAACCUCGCCUCAGUAAUUUUCUACUUUGGUAGACGAGUACAUGCCCUUUGUAUGCACCGACUGCACUGUGGCCUGAAAUUGGUCUAAGACACUUGAUCUGGGCAGUAUUAAACUUUCAGAGACACUAUUUUUAUUUGGAAAAGAAAAAGAAACAGUUUUAAGUGUAUUCUUGUUGGCCAAAAUUCAGAAUAUGCGCAACAGAGAUUUAUACAGAAAAACAAAAAAGAAAGGACUUGUGUCGUUUUCACCAUUCCUGUAGUGAAAAACAAGAAAUUAUAACAAAGUCUCCUCAAACAAUCAAGCUUUAUGGAAGAUGAAGUUGGGGAAGAGGGAGUCUAGAAAUAGAAAUCUAGUGUGUAUAAUGCUUGAACAUUUGCCUAUGAACUGUAUAAAUAUUUAAACAGGCCACUUGUAUGUGUAGAGUGGUGUGUGUGGGUUUGUGUAGUGCAUCUUGAAAUGCCUGACAGGCGUGAGUUGAUUCAACGUCCAGAGAGCAGAAGAACCAAGCCUUGUUUCUCUUCCAAAGAAAAGUUGAAAACCAUAAUGGAUGGUGAGAUAGAGGGUCAAUAUUCGCGAAAGAAAGCGAUACAAGCAGCACAAAUUACUCUAAAAUGCUUAGUACAUGACCCUAAACAAUGUCCUGCAUUUUAAUUUAGUGCCACUAGAUUUGUUUAAAAAGGGGUUAUCCCUUUUUUGUUAAGAUAUUAAUUAAGUUGUGUUAUUUUGUAGAGACCCCUA